rnacentral:rRNA from 1 species
UACGGAGGAUCCAAGCGUUAUCCGGAAUCAUUGGGUUUAAAGGGUCCGUAGGCGGUUUUGUAAGUCAGUGGUGAAAUCUGGUCGCUUAACGAUCAAACGGCCAUUGAUACUGCAAGACUUGAAUUAUUGGGAAGUAACUAGAAUAUGUAGUGUAGCGGUGAAAUGCUUAGAUAUUACAUGGAAUACCAAUUGCGAAGGCAGGUUACUAUCAAUAUAUUGACGCUGAUGGACGAAAGCGUGGGGAGCGAACAGGAUUAGAUACCCUGGUAGUCCACGCCGUAAACGAUGGAUACUAGCUGUUGGGCGCAAGCUCAGUGGCUAAGCGAAAGUGAUAAGUAUCCCACCUGGGGAGUACGAACGCAAGUUUGAA